UUAUCUCUGAGAUGCUCGGGAUAAGGGUUAGUCCCCUGAGCCGAUAUUCUUUAAUUUAGAGUGGUGUGGUUUUUAAUUGGUGUGUAUGCCUAAUUUAUUUAGGAAACCUAAAAAUUAAAACAUGCAACUCACCUUGAACCUUGGGUUCAAGGGUUACGACCCUAACGACAUCUUGGAGUGCUU
rfam:Gilliamella sp. N-G2 NODE_18, whole genome shotgun sequence.